UGAGGAAUAUUGGUCAAUGGGAGCAAUCCUGAACCAGCCAUGCCGCGUGAAGGAUGACGGCCCUAUGGGUUGUAAACUUCUUUUGUACGGGAGAAAACCUCUGGUCGUGUACCAGAGCUGAUGGUACCGUAAGAAUAAGCAUCGGCUAACUCCGUGCCAGCAGCCGCGGUAAUACGGAGGAUGCAAGCGUUAUCCGGAUUCAUUGGGUUUAAAGGGUGCGCAGGCGGAUUAUUAAGUCAGUGGUGAAAGCCUACAGCUUAACUGUAGAACUGCCAUUGAUACUGAUAUUCUUGAGUGUUGUUGAGGUAGGCGGAAUGUGUCAUGUAGCGGUGAAAUGCUUAGAUAUGACACAGAACACCGAUCGCGAAGGCAGCUUACCAAGCAACAACUGACGCUCAUGCA
rnacentral:rRNA from 1 species